UACGUAGGGUGCAAGCGUUGUCCGGAAUUAUUGGGCGUAAAGAGCUCGUAGGCGGCCUGUCACGUCGACUGUGAAAACCCGAGGCUCAACCUCGGGCCUGCAGUCGAUACGGGCAGGCUAGAGUUCGGUAGGGGAGACUGGAAUUCCUGGUGUAGCGGUGAAAUGCGCAGAUAUCAGGAGGAACACCGGUGGCGAAGGCGGGUCUCUGGGCCGAAACUGACGCUGAGGAGCGAAAGCGUGGGGAGCGAACAGG
rnacentral:rRNA from 1 species